AAAUUGAAGAGUUUGAUCAUGGCUCAGAUUGAACGCUGGCGGCAGGCCUAACACAUGCAAGUCGAGCGGCAGCGGGGAGUAGCUUGCUACUCUGCCGGCGAGCGGCGGACGGGUGAGUAAAGUCUGGGGAUCUGGCUUAUGGAGGGGGAUAACCAUUGGAAACGGUGGCUAAUACCGCAUGAUGUCGCAAGACCAAAGUGGGGGACCUUAGGGCCUCACGCCAUGAGAUGAACCCAGAUGAGAUUAGCUAGUAGGUGCGGUAAUGGCGUACCUAGGCGACGAUCUCUAGCUGGUCUGAGAGGAUGACCAGCCACACUGGAACUGAGAGACGGUCCAGACUCCUACGGGAGGCAGCAGUGGGGAAUAUUGCACAAUGGGCGGAAGCCUGAUGCAGCCAUGCCGCGUGUGUGAAGAAGGCCUUAGGGUUGUAAAGCACUUUCAGCGGGGAGGAAGGCGGUAAGAGUAAUAUGCUUAUCGAUUGACGUUACCCGCAAAAGAAGCACCGGCUAACUCCGUGCCAGCAGCCGCGGUAAUACGGAGGGUGCGAGCGUUAAUCGGAAUAACUGGGCGUAAAGGGCAUGUAGGCGGUAAGUUAAGUCAGAUGUGAAAUCCCCGAGCUUAACUUGGGAACGGCAUUUGAGACUGGCUGGCUAGAGUUUUGUAGAGGGGGGUAGAAUUCCAGGUGUAGCGGUGAAAUGCGUAGAGAUCUGGAGGAAUACCGGUGGCGAAGGCGGCCCCCUGGACAAGGACUGACGCUGAGGUGCGAAAGCGU
rnacentral:ncRNA from 1 species